UACGGAGGGUGCGAGCGUUGCCCGGAAUCACUGGGCGUAAAGGGCGCGUAGGCGGCCUGAUAAGUAGGGGGUGAAAUCCUGCGGCUUAACCGCAGGGCUGCCUUCUAAACUGUCGGGCUAGAGCACGGUAGAGGCAGAUGGAAUUCCCGGUGUAGCGGUGGAAUGCGUAGAGAUCGGGAAGAACAUCAGUGGCGAAGGCGGUCUGCUGGGCCGUUGCUGACGCUGAGGCGCGACAGCGUGGGGAGCAAACAGG
rnacentral:rRNA from 1 species